GUUAAGUNAGUCCAAACGUGACCAGACUAAGUUCUUAGAGAACUCCGUUAUUUGGGUCAAGACACCUAAGAAUGCGUGCCAGUUUUUAGCUCUGUC
rnacentral:sRNA from 20 species